rnacentral:rRNA from 1 species
AAGGAAUAUUGGUCAAUGGUGGAAACACUGAACCAGCCAUGCCGCGUGGAGGAAUAAGGUCCUACGGAUUGUAAACUCCUUUUGACGAGGAAGAAAAUGUUAGAUUUAUCUAAUUUUGACGGUACUCGUAGAAUAAGCACCGGCUAACUCCGUGCCAGCAGCCGCGGUAAUACGGAGGGUGCCAGCGUUAUCCGGAUUUACUGGGUUUAAAGGGUCCGCAGGUGGGGAGGUAAGUCAGUGGUGAAAUACCCGGGCUCAAUUUGGGUGCUGCCAUUGAUACUGCUUUUCUUGAGUGUAGAUGAGGUGGGCGGAAUACAGCAUGUAGCGGUGAAAUGCGUAGAUAUGCUGUAGAACACCGAUUGCGAAGGCAGCUCACUAAACUACUACUGACACUCAGGGACGAAAGCGUGGGGAUCAAAC